UUUGACCUCAAAUCAGGUAGGACUACCCGCUGAACUUAAGCAUAUCAAUAAGCGGAGGAAAAGAAACUAACAAGGAUUCCCCUAGUAACUGCGAGUGAAGCGGGAAAAGCUCAAAUUUAAAAUCUGGCAGUCUUUGGCUGCCCGAGUUGUAAUCUAGAGAA
rnacentral:rRNA from 1 species